rnacentral:lncRNA from 1 species
AAAUUUGAUGAGAAAGAAUGGUAUGUUGGGAAAGCCCAGAAAAAAUAUGAAAGAGAGCUUGAACUGAAAGGGCGAUUUGAGCAGAGUAUGAAGGAAGUAGUAGACAAAUUUCAAGGGGUGAACUUGUAUAUUAAAAACUUGGACGAUAGCAUUGGCGAUGAUAAACUAAAGGAAUUGUUCUCAGAGUUUGGUACAAUUACCUCAUGCAAGGUUUGCAAAUGUUCUCCCUCAAAAAGAAAUAUAUUAGAAAUUAGAGUCCUAAUCAAAUGCCUCACCCCUCUCUUGGUGGCAGUGGUCUAAAAUUAGUUCCCUGUUCUGAUGAUUUUACAGGUUAUGCGUGACCCAAGUGGAAUAAGUAGAGGCUCGGGAUUUGUUGCCUUCUCAACUUCUGAAGAAGCAUCUCGAGCAGUAAGCUGAUUUUUAUGUGGUUCUUUUACCAUGUAUUGCAAUUCUCUUGCUAUGUUCAGAAAUAAUCAAUUUCAUGUUUUUUACUACAGCUCACGGAGAUGAAUGGUAAAAUGGUUGUGAGCAAACCUCUUUAUGUUGCCCUUGCACAGAGGAAAGAAGAGAGGAGAGCCAGGUUGCAGGUAGUAUAUCAGGGAAAUUAUUUCAACGUAUUUUUUUAAACAACAAAGAUUUUACUGAAAAGUGUUUAAGCAAGGGUCAUACCCUAUGUAAACAAGAGGUAUACGAUGGGUGUCAAAGGCACCAAUAAUCACUUAAACCCCACCUGAACAGUUAACUAAAUCCAUAAAAGUAUCAAAGCUACAAAUUGACAUCAAACUUGACUACAAAAGCAAGUUACAUGCAAACAGGUUUUUUAAUAUCACUUCUGAGCUCUCCACACCUUCAAAGCAUCUUUUAUCAUGUUAUUAUUUCUAAAUAGACCAAAACAAUGUGGAGCACCCUCCAAAACUGCUCCUCCAUUUUCCCAAAAAACUUCCAUGCCAACCUGAAAACUUCUUGACAGAAUGAGGUAAGAGAUGCACAACAUACCAAAAAUAGAAAAUACCAAGGGCCCUAAACUGCAUGUAAUGAGAACAUGGUUGCCUGAUUCUUUGUCCUAAUUGCAGAAUGAUGAUCUUCUUUGGAGAAAAGUGAUCUUGUAAAAGGAAAAAAAACCAUAAAAAAGGGACUUUGUGACUGUCUUUGGAAUUGAUUUAUAGCUCCUGCAACUGCACAAAAUGCAGAUUCAGUUUGAAUAACUGAUAUUUUUCCUUGUUGAAUAAAUAGUUCUUGUACUUUUGAGUGCCUGCUGUGUGUUUAUUGAGGGAUUGAUGUAGGACAACCCUAGGAUGGUUGCCUACACUCAAGGGUAGGUGGGCUAGGGUUUUAUUUUAAGGUGUAAGGAGAGGAACAAGGAAUAAAUUUUAUGGAAGAGAAAAUUAUAAGAUAAGAAGUAGAGAGAAAGAAGAAACAAUGAAGAAAGGAUGGAAAACCUUAGAGUCUCCCUAAGGCCUUCUAGGAGUCUCACCUAGAAGAAAAUCAAUGGAGUCUCACCAUUGAGGGUUGCAACCUUGCAAUAAAAGAAAGUAUAAUAUUAUUCAUCAAAUUCGAUCAUUUGAUUUACAUUGAUUAGCCUAUUUAUAGGCUUCUCUAAGAAAUUCAAAGUCUACUAGGACUCUAAUAACCUAUCAUGACUCAAAUUCUAAUUAUAUUAUAACUCAACUAGCUAAUCCUAAUUAGACUCCAACAAAUACCAAUCCCAAUUAAAUUCUAAUUAAUAUUAAUCCUACUUAAAGUUUACUUAGGUCUUCACUUUCUUCCUUGAAUAAACUUUAAGAGGCUUUCCCCCAUCAGGGAUGUUCAAUCUAAAUUGACCUAAAAUAAUGUUGGGAGGGAAGAUUUAAUCCACGUGCUGUAUAUUUUAUGAUUGUACUGGUCUUUGAACAUAAUUUAUUAUUAAUGCUUCAACACCCACCCACACCACCCCCCAAGAACAAAUAGUAUUUACUUAAACAAAAGGAUCAUUUCAUGUUGCUCACAAUUUCAUCAUGUAGAACCAUGUAUUUGAAAACUACACUCAGUGUUGGUGUAAAUGUUAAGAGUGAAAGACGGAUUUCUGCAUUUAUAUGCAAACCUGUCAUUUUACUUGGAAAAAUGUAUACAUGAACAUGCUUAAAAUGAUAUAAAUUUUUUUUUUCUUUUAAAUACAAUGACAAUAUCAAGUUCGAAAAGAGAAUGGAUAGUUUCAUUCUUCAACUUGACGCCCAAUAUUUGGAGUUAAGUGUCCCUAAAUUAUAAUUUUCUCUCCUUCUAAGGAAAUGGAUGGAGUUGGAAAGUCAUGGUUGAAUUUGAAGCACAUAAACAUGGUUUCAACUGGGAUUUAUCAAAAAGGUCUAGAACUCUUAGUGCUGAUCUUAAGAUUUUCUUUGCUAUUAGGUUUCAAAUUGCGAUUGCAAAGAAUAUGAUAUCUUGGUAUAUUGAAGGUUUUCUUUUCAAUAUGGUCUCUUGCUAUGUUAGGCGGAAAGGCUAAGAUGGAGUGAAUGUACGCAUUACUUACCCUUGUUGUUCUCAUAGAAUUUGCAUUUUCCGUUGUUUUUUCUCUACAUUUUUUUCGUGCCUCUUUCUUUUGUGUUUAUUGUGUGGGCACCAUAUAGUUUCAUAGAAUAACGUAACUAGUGGUUUUUUUUCUAGCUUUGUUUGCCUUGCCUUUCUCUCUUUACUUGUGUUGAUUUUGCAGGCACAGUUCUCUCAAAUGAGGCCCGUCUCGAUGGCACCUUCAGUUGCACCUCGGAUGCCAAUGUACCCUCCUGGUGCUCCCGGUCUUGGGCAGCAAUUAUUUUAUGGGCAAGGGCCACCUGCUAUAAUUCCUCCCCAAGUAAUAAUUUUAAUUUUGUUUUCUAUUCUUUUGUUCCAUUUCUCAUAAACUACUUUUUCUUUGGUCCUGUUUGGUGUUGCUUGUUUUUUACUUAAGCUAUAAGGUUUUUAUUUUUUAUUUUUUUACUUAAGCCAGACAGUGAAGUUCAACCCAAAUCCAUAAUUUAGAAGGGUAAUAUAACUGAGGUUCAAGCCCAAUCCAAUUUUGAAAGGUAAUGACUGUAUUGUAAAAGUUAUAUUAAAGAUAAGAUAACUUCUUGCAUAAGCUAAAGAAAUUACCUAUAUAAAAAAAAAAAAGAGCUAAAGAAAGGCUUCUAUGAGAAGCAAUAUUUUCUUGGCUUUCAUCUUAAACUCUUGCUUGAUUCAAUAGCUUUUUUAAUAAAAUUACCUGAACUUAUAGAGUAGAAAAAGACUUUUUGGUUUGUCAAAAGCCAAUCCAAAUAGAUUCUUCUUCUUCAUUUUUUUUUUAAUUAGACAAUCCAUUUAUGUAAAAUUGGUAUUGUUUCCUUCCUCCCCCCCAGAAUCACAUUUGAGCAAUUGGUUUUUUUCUUCUUUUUUUUUUUCCAAGAAUUAUAUUUGAGCAAUUGGGUUGAUUUAUUGAUGGAUCUUAAAAGUGACUCUGAAUGGAAUUUAUGGUGGAAUAUUCUUUAAAAGUAGUGGUUUAUGAGAAUUCAAUUACAAGGAGGGUGCUUCUAUUUGGUUUUACAAUAAUUUUUUUGUCCUUAGUCAAGAAAACUGGAGGCAAAAUCUGGUUUGGCCAUAUUGUAAAUAGUAUGGGAGCAACUUAUGGUUUUGUUUUGAAUAAUGAACAGCUUGUAUGGUAGUUGGAUCAUUUGAAAGAGGCAGUUGAAAAGAAUUAGGUGCAUGGGCUUUAGCAGGAAGCUAAAAAAUCCGCGUUAAGUCCACCCUAUGGAUGCGCAUAGCAAUAUCAAUGGAAGAUGUGUUAGAUUGACAAAAUUUAUGCUGAUUUUAGAUGGCAGUAACUCAUAACAGAACUGGUUGAGACAAUUUAAGGAUGUUAUUUCUUCUUUUUGUGGUAAUCAAAGAAAGAUGCUGACAAGCAAAAAUGCAAAGAAAGGAAAAGUUGGGAAGUUAACAACUACUAUUCAAUUUGAACCUUUGCGAGUGUAAUGGGAGAAGGGCUCAUGGUUGGAUGAUAACUUGCCAAUAGGAGAUCAGAAAAAGCUGCCUUGUUUGUGUUAGCCCUUAUAUAACAAAUGAGUGGGAUCUAAUGUGAGAGACAUGAUCUCACCUAUAAAAAAAAUGUGAGAGACAUGGUCUCAAUAACACCCUUCUCUUUUUCAAGAGAUUGUUCUUUCUGAAUUCAAUAGGCAAAACCAUCUAUUUAAAUGAUUUGGGCUAUUGACAUGGAAGAGGGCAGUUGCUUUUUUCUUGUUCUCCUCUUUAUUUAAGGAGAGUCCUUGGGUGGCAUGGGUCCUUUGUGGGUAAAGCCUGCAAAAAGUGUUGGAAGGUGGUCCCAUUAUGUAUUUUUUGGACGGUGUGGAAGGAAAGGAACUUUCUAGCGUUUGAUAAUGCAGACUUUUUGGUCCAAAGGAUGAAAAAUUCUUUUGUUUGUAAUUUGUGGUCUUGGUCUAAGGUGUCUAUAGAUGUGGGGCCUUUUUCUCUUCUUAGCUUUUUUGGUUGGCUGGGUUUUAAGUGAGGAUAGGUGAUGUUUUUUGUUUCUCUCCCUCUCCCACUUGGAUGAGUUUGUGGGCGUCCGUAUACUUCCUAUAUACUUUGGGAUGUUGUUUUGGCAUUUCCUUUUUAUAUUUACCAUCUAUUCUCACCUAUUAAAAAAAAACAUCAUUAUGCAAAAAUACACAUUAAGUGUGAACUUAGUGAGGUGUUGGGAAUUCAAUUGUAGAUGGAUUGAGAUAUAAAGUCUUCCUUUUCAAUUUUGAGUUAUUUGGGGAAUUGGAGCAUGGGAGGAGACCAUAUAUGGUUCCACAUUUUCCAUGGAUAACAAUCUUUUAAGGGAUAGUGAAGGCAUUGAAGCUUGUAGGUGGUUAGAAAGAGGGAAUUAAUUAGCAACUGUAGAGGGUGUGAGAUUUCAACCUAUCUAAUUAUGCAAAGUAAAGGUGCUUCAAUGGGAAAAAAGAAUUCAAGAUCUUGUUGUAGAGGUUGUAGGUUCUUCCAACUUCUUUAGUUGAGUAACCCUUGUCCAAGUAUGUCUAUCCAUUCCCACAGCUUUGGCUCAAGAUACUGGGUAUUUUGUCUAAAAAAUUGAUUUUCUUGGUGGGAUGUGUGGUACUGAUAUUGGUGUUUAAUUCUUUUUUUUUCGAACCCCUGUACCUUAUUUUUCAGGAAUUGUCCUUGUUUUUUAUAUGCUAUCCACUUUUCUACUUUUUCAGGAGGGCGCACACAGUCUCUCCUCAAAUUCAUAGUUCUCUAGCUUGCUAUCAAAGCGUAGUUUGAAACCCUAACUCCCAGUUGCAAACCAUCCUCUCCAACUCAAGGUGUUCACCAUGACAACACGGAAUUCUUACAAGUCAAUUAGAACCCUAUCUACACCAUCUCAUCCAUGACUUGCUCCUUAAAGCGCACACAGUCUCUCCUCAAAUCAGUAGUUCUCUUGCUUGCUAUCAAAGCGUAGUUUGAAACCCUAACUUCCAGUUGCAAACCAUCCUCUCCAACUCAAGGUGUUCACCGUGACAACAAGAAAUUCUUACUAGUCAAUUAGAACCCUAUUUUUUUUUUUGUUUUUGAUAAGUCAAUUAGAACUCUAUCUACACCAUCUCAUCCAUGACUUGCUCCUUAAAACCCUAUUUUUAUCUUUUACAACUUUUCUUAGAUUAAAAACCCAAUUGCAGUUGUGUUCACUUUUGUCUAGAUUGGGCUGAGUUUCUUCCUUGAUAUUAGAGCUCUACACCUUUGCUCCUUUUGUUGUCCAAGUGAGUUACUUCAAUCUAUUGCAUUUUUUUAGAUGACUUUUGAUGGUAGCAUCAAACUUUUGUGUAAUUGACUUGAGACAGUAUUGGUACCCAAAUUACACCAUAAAAUUAAAGGAAUCUGAUUAUCUACUUGGUCAAAAAAUGAAAAUAUAUAUUGGCAAAGGGUAAAUUACAGUUUUUGUGUGAUGAUUCUCCUCAUUAUGACGUGGAGGACAAUGAAGAAUGAUAUGGGAAGAACCCAAUAAUCAUGACCUAGCUUUGGAAUAUCAUGAAACCUUGUAUUACUGCUACAUUUAUGUUCUUUGACAUUGCUAAAGAGAUUUAUGAAGCAUUUUGCCUUUUUAGUUGAAAAUUGCUCAUAAAGCUAACUACUAUCAACAGCUAUGCUUAUUUCAGAGUUCUUAAAGUUAUUGAAUUGCUUAGGCACUGUGCCUAAGCUACUAUAUUCAGCUUGAAAAAGGUAAACUAUGCCUUUUUUCCUAAGGAACAAGAUUUGACAAUAAUUUAACAUCUCUUAUUGUAAGAAAAACAGAUUAAUAACAGAAGAAACAACUUUUCUUGGUGAAUGUUCAAGUUGUCUGUGCAAUAUUUUUAUAAGGCCAUUUUCGUUUAUAGAAUAGGCAUUUGGGAAAGGGUGUCAUAUUCCCAUUCCAUCAAUGCCUUUAUUCCGUCCAACAUUUUGAACUUUGGAAUUUAUCCCCACUUGGAAAUCAUCUCCCACAAAAUAUGGUUGAUUGAAAACCUAUGAUGCUCCUAGGAAUUUCUAACUCCACUCAUGUGCUUUCCUUUUAUGAUAAAGAAUAAUGACUAGUAAACCAUCCAUCUAAUCCUCUCAAUAAAUAAAAUGCUAAUUAUAUUUCAUUUCUUCUCAUAUUUUCAAUCUUUAUUUCAAAACUAAUAUCUUUGUAAUUCAGUAAAUUAUUUAUUUCUUUUAGUCAUUGGUUAUUCAUUGGUUAUUCAUUUUCUUAAAAUACUAAUAUCUCUUGAAGAUAUUUUGAUUACAUUUAGAAUAAAUAAAUAUAAAUGUAAUCAUGGCUUAGUUUAAUCUUAUUUAAAUAUGUAUAGUAAUUGAAAUCUUAUUUUAUUUUAGUUUAAUAUUAUGUCUAGUUUAAUCUUGUUUAAUAAUUUUUAAAAUUUUAGUCAUUAUAUAUAUUUUUUAAGGAUAAUGUCUUAUAAUAUUGUAAUAUAAUAAAUUUUGCAAGUUAUCUCAAUCAUUAUUUAUCUUUUCCUUAAAAAUAUAUAAUAUUUUCUAUUAUAAGAUAAUUUAAUAAAUACAAACCAUACCAAUAUUUUAUUAAAAAAAUGUCAUAUGUUAUUUUGCAAGUAUUUCAAAAAUAAAAAAUAUUUAAUGAACCAUGUGCACUUCAAAUUUAUUUAUUUUUAAAAAAACUAUUUAAUAAGUUCUUUCAUACUUUAAAAUGCAUGUAUUUUGAAACCUCAUAUAUUUGAUCAAAUUGAAAGUGUAUUAUUGUAAUUAAUUAUCAUUUUAUUUUUAAUUCUAUACUACACAAAACUUGAAUAGAAAUAACAAAUUCCAUGACCUAAGUUAUCCAAACAUAAAAAUUGGAAUCAUCCUGCAUGCUUAUUUUUGUCUUGGAUUUCCCAAGGAAUACAAUUCUUUCUCUGCUUAUUCUAUUAACCAAACAUGCCCUAAAAUGUUAUGUAACUGUCUCAAUAACAAAUGCGUUUUGGAAUCUUUACGCAUUGGGAGACUUGUUGUAAAGGUCAUUGAGUAAUUUGUCCUGCAACAGAAUUUUCUUCAAGACCCAAUCCUUCCUAAGACAAUGACAAGGAUAAAACAAAAACAAAACAUUGUCAUCAGUAGCAAGGUUAGCAAUGCUAACAAGAUUUUUUUAUAUUUGAGGAACAAUAUAAACUUUAUUAAGAUGAAGAUGUCAAAUUGCAGUGGAUAUAAACUUAUAUCCAAUGUGAAUUGUGGAGAAAAUCUCCUCACUGCUAACUUGCUCUUGUAAAUUUGACCGGAAACUCAGACUGUUCAGCUUUUUGUAGUUUAAAUGAUUAAUGGCUCCAUGGUGCAAUACCAAUAUUAUAUAUGCUGGUGUCUGUAGAUGCCACCAUUGUUGCCACCAGUUGAUUGUUGCUGGACUGAUAACCAUGAUCGUAUCUGCAGAAGCAGGUUGUUGCAAUAUGACCAAAUUUUGAGCAAAUAUGACAUGGGGGACCUAGAGGGAUUUCCUCUUCCUCUACUCCUUGGCCUUUCCCCUGCUUGUUUUGGUGCCCUGCAAAAUUCAUAUUAGUUUGAAAGAAAAUAUUAGAAUGUAGUAUUUUGAUGUUUUAUAUGGCCAUUUUUUUCUGUGACCCAGUAGCCAUAUUAGUCAUAGGUUGAUAAUGAUCCAACAAUUAUUGUACUGCUUUGAUGGAACCUCCCGACUAAGAAGGAGACCAUAAAUUUAAUCCAGUUUGGGGAGGUCCUGAUGGGUAGUGAUAUUUGUAACUAGUGGGUCAUAAUAAAAUUUCAUGCCUUCUAAAAUGUAUCUGUCAGAAGCUGGAUUCUAGCCACUGCAAGUUAAUCUGGAGCAUUCUUAAUUUUUAAAGUAUAUCUAGAGAUGCUAAGACUCCCAUUUUUUGGUUGUUUUAAGUUGUAGUGGGAGCUGCAGUAUCUUGUUCUUCGCUUGUAUUGAAUACAUUUUUUCUAGGUCUUUUGAAGCAAUGCUUUUAUGUAGCUUUUACAGCAGCCAACUUAAAAGAUUGAUUGUUGAUGAAUCACCUUCACCUGAAGAAAAGGUUUGGUCAGAUCCCAUGAUGAGAUUUUGCAAUUUAUGGCCUUUGAUGAUUGGGAAAACUAUAGCAGAACAUGAAAGAUAGUUUGAUUUGUCAAGCUUAAUUGAAACAGCAUGGUUAAACAUGUUUAGGAGAGCAUGGGAGGCAUGGGAUGAGGUGGAUGCUAUUUGUAAAGGCUUGAAUGCCAUGAAAGAAAGAAUACCAUAGUGGAAGAGUUUUUUGGUUGAAAAUGCUCCUUUAUUUCAUUCAAUAUUACAUGAGCAAAUUAUACAUGGAAAUGGUUACAUAUUGGAAUAAAUUCCACAAUUUUCCUGCAUGGAAUUAGCAUGUAAUGCUGUGUUUUGGAGAUACAGUUGGAUGAUUUAUUAGCUAUACUUCAUUAAUAGGGUCUAUCUAUAGGGACAUAGAUUCUAGCCCUUUUUGGAAGGUUGCCUAUUGCUGAGAUCUCUAGGGAUAUCAAACAUUUUGGUGGAAGGCGAUUCUGUUACAAUUAUUUCUUGGAUUUCAAAGAGGAAACAAAAGACUUAGAAGUUUAAUGUGUAAUUGUUCAAAAUUUUUGCCAUUGCAUGUAGGUUCCUAGGGGUUUUUUAGCUAAUCAGGGUGCCUUGUAAGUGGUGUCUUUUGGUUUUUGUAUUUUCUUAUAUAGAGAUUUUAGAGUCUCUUUCUUUUUUAUUUCCCUUUCUUUGCCCUUUUGGUCAAAUUGUGUUUUUCAAGGGCAUUUCAUCCUUCCAUAUAGUUCUCAUUUUAAUUCAAUGAAUUGGUUGUUCUGGUAAAAGCGAAAUGAAAACUCUUUACAGGAACAUACAUUGCUGAGGAUUUUUAGGAGAGCUAUGAUGAGUUAACGGAGAGGAUUUUGAUUUGCCUUAUCUUGUCCCUGCUUUUACGAGUAGCAGUCUCACAUUCAUCUCCACACAACAUAAGACCUUGGGUUUUUUAAAUGUUUAAUCCUUAUUGGUUGUGCAUACGGAAAGCUCAAGAUUCCUCUAUGUACCUGUGCUUUUAUGAUGAAUAGGGAUAAGUGGAGCAUUCACUAGGAUGAAAUAAUUAAAAAUGUGUAAUCCCAACAAUUGGGAUUGUAUGGGUUUGGUGAAUUAGGGCCCCUCCCUGCACCACUGAGGGUGUGUGGUUGGUUGACUGAUUCGUAGAACUGUUUUUAUGUGGAUGGAUAUUUCUUGUGGCAAUUAAUCAUCUACUACUAGGGACAAAACCUUUCUUUGAAGUUAUGGGGUUGAUUUAGUGAAAAUUUGUGGACAAAUAGUGAAUGACAAAAAUCUAGGUACAAUUCUAGUCGUAUCUUUGCCCGAAGAGGUAAUGAUUGAGAAGGAUGGCAUCUUUUAGAUUCAUUUGCAAUGUUUAUUGCUGGACUUUUUGGUGCAAGGAUGGUGUCUGCUAUUUCCAUUGUUGCAUUAGUUUUUUUAAGUAGGUUUAAGGUUGAAGGGAUGUGAUAUACACAAUAUGAUUGUAUAGCUCUUCAUCCAUUAUAUUUAUUAAAUAUUCAUAAAAAUAAUAUUGAGAACAUAAAUUUUCAAGUCAACUGAAUUCAUUGUAGUCAAGUUUGGGGAUUUCACCCUUUACUUCUUAUGGGUCGUUUUGCAGUUUAGUUUUAGACUCCAUGCAUCUUUGGUUUAGGUGUUUAGAUUUUUACUAGAUUUUGUGGAAAUUUUUAUUACGGCUGGAACUGUAGCUGGUUAUGAUGAUCUAUUUCCAAAAAUCUAUUUUUUCAGGCUGGAUUCGGUUACCAGCAGCAACUCGUUCCUGGAAUGAGGCCUGGUGGUGCUCCCAUGCCAAAUUUCUUUGUUCCACUGGUCCAGCAAGGUCAGCAGGGUCAACGCCCAGGGGGCAGACGUGGGGCAGGUCCUGUGCAGCAGAAUCAGCAGCCAGUGCCCCUGAUGCAGCAGCAGGUUGGUUCAAGUGCAACAUUUUCUAUGUUUUUGAGUUUCUGCUUUUGGACUAAAUUUUCAUUUUACACUUUAUUUUAUGCCCCUCACUUCUCUGAUGGGAAGAUGAUUGUUACUUGCUCAUGUUUCAGAUGCUUCCAAGGGGGGGACGAGUCUACCGCUACCCUCCUGGCCGCAAUAUGCCUGAUGUUCCAAUGCCAGGUGUUGCUGGAGGCAUGCUUUCAAUUCCAUAUGACAUGGGUGGCGUGCCACUUCGAGAUGCUGCAAUUGGUCAGCCAAUGCCCAUUUCAGCUUUGGCUUCAGCUCUUGCAAAUGCAACACCUGAUCAGCAAAGAACAGUAUGCCGUUUAUAUACCUUAGUUUGCAUUGUAUUAAUAGCCUUUUUCAUUUUUUUUCUUUUUCUUCUGCUCUCAUUAUCGUUGAUACCUUAGUUUGCAUUGUAUUAGGAGCCUGGUUUAUUUUACUUUAUUUUAUUUUUUAUGGUGCUCAUGGUGUUGUUUCUGUUUUUAUGGUGGCUAGAUGCUGGGUGAAAGUUUGUACCCUCUCGUGGAUCAGCUGGAGCAUGAGAUGGCAGCUAAAGUGACAGGCAUGCUUCUGGAGAUGGACCAGACUGAGGUUUUGCAUCUGCUCGAGUCGCCAGAGGCUUUGAAGUCCAAGGUUGCGGAGGCCAUGGACGUCCUGAGGAAUGUUGCUCAGCAGCAGGCUAACAGCCCAACCGAACAACUAGCCUCACUGUCCCUAAAUGACAGCCUUGUUCCCUGAGUGUGUUGGGUGGAACUUAAAUGUGGUUCCAGCAGUUUAAAUUAAGUUUCUCUGCUAGUGAAGGCUCUAGAUUUCAUUUGAUAUGGAGUUACAUUAGCCAUAGGAUUCUGAAGUUUGAAACAUAUUGUGUGUUGGUUUUUGGUGAUGAAGUUUAGGAUGCUAUACAUUCUAUGUUCUGGUGUUGACGAUCGAGUGUUCGAUUGAGUUGCUUGCAUAUUCCAAACCAUAGAAUUCUGACGUUAAAUAGAUACUAUGUUUGAUUUUGUGAUUAAAUUUUGGACUUAGACAUUGCUAUAGUUUUGGUGUUGAUCAUGGCAUUUUCUACGGAGUUUCUUGCACUAUUUCAAGUAUCAUGUCUUUCUCUUGCUUACAUGUGCUUGACUCUAGCCUUAAUCUAAAAUAUUUCUUACCAAUUCAUACGAUGUGCCUCACCUAACUGAUUUUGUAUAUCUUCUCUUCUCAUUUGCUCUGCGUCUGCUUUCUUUAGCUGAUUUGAUACGACCGUCCUGAGUUGCACCCUCAGAAGUCAAAAGCAUGGUGGUUGAGAGAUAAUAAAUUUUGGGAGCAUUGAUGGACCAUAUGAAUUGAAGGGGACCCAAGCCUCAGGGGUCUUGCUGCAUAAGUCGAAGUGCAAUAGGAUGCUACGAAUCCUUAAAACUAGAUGUUUUCUUUUUGGUGUGUUCCUAUUUCGUUUGGUAUUGGGGAUGAUUAACUCAGGGCCCAUAUUUCACAAAUUAAAAUAGAAUUUGUUUUAAUAGUUUAUUUUAGGAAGAGCACCCUUUAAAUUAGAACAGUGUGCUCGCUUGUAUCAUGGACCUAGCUGUAUUUCUUCCUCACGGUAUUAACGACUGCACACAUUAAUCGCUCUCACGUUGAUGAUAGGCCAUGUGCCCCGUUAUCAAUCGACAAGACAAGUUCAAACAUAUUCAAUUUCCAUUUCCAUGAUCCUAAUUGGAAUAUUUCGCAGCAGGUGGCCUAAGAGGUCUAGUGUGAAAGUUGUAAAAAAAAAGGACGAAGUAUCCUAAUGGACUACAAUGAUCAGGAUUUUCCGAGAAAAUCCUCAUUUAGCUUUAGGCCGACGUGGCCCCCAACGGCACCACGUUUUCAAAGCAUUACAAGAAACGUACAACCUUCAAAAUCUUUCACCUAGAUUUUAAACGACGGCUACAUUUCAUCUUCAGAAACCCAAGUUUGAAUUUUCAUUCAGUUCAAUAUUCCACUAGGUUAACAUAAUCAGAAUCCUUAAAAGAAGGGCCAAUGUCGAGGUUGUUACUAAGCAAGCAGGUUCUUCGUUUAAGUCUAUUUAAUUUAUUUCCCCCAUAUGCAAGCGCCGGAAUAUAGAGAAGGCUUUGAGCAAUUACGUGUACGUUUAAUUCAGUACUGUAACCACAAGCACCCACCCGGCAAUGGUUCAAUUCAGUUCUGUAACCACCAGCUCCCACCAACUUUCGGUGGACUCUUCAAAGGAAGCGGCGUGAAGAAAGUUGAGAAAUUUCUCACGCAAUUCGGUUUAUUUAUUUAUUUUUCUGUUGUCACGGUGCACCGUUGAAUUGAAUCAUACAGCAAUUCAUUAAGUGGGUGACGUCAUGCUUGACAUCCAUCCUCCAGUUUUGGCUCAUCCUCCAAACACCUUUUAAAAGAAUGGGUCCAUCUAUGGCCUUUGAGUUAGGGUUGAAUUGCCAGCCCUAAUUUUUGGAAAACGGGUUUAGAAUCAUAAUAGUUAUUAUUAUUACAAUCUAAUCUCACAUCAUUCUUUUCAUAUUUUGACUGGAUCUAGUCUUUUCCAGGCAACUGGGAGGACAAUCAUUUAAAGAAUUGAGAUGCUCAUCUGCAGCUUUAUAAAUCACAGCAGCCCAUUAAGAAUGGUAGGGAGAAGCUGAAGAUAAGCUAUUGGCUUCCCUGAACAGAGGAGACUCCUCGGUGGUCUAAUGGCAACUCCGACUGUUCGGCUCAUCUCAGAAUGCUUUAUCAAACCAAAGUUCACUUCAGAAGAGACCAAGGAGCCCUGUUACCUCACACCAUGGGACCUUGCCAUGCUCUCCGUCAAUUAUAUCCAAAAGGGCCUUCUCUUUAGCAAACCACCUGAUGUGGAUGAUCCACAAAACUUCAUGGCAACUCUCUUGGACAGGCUCAAGGAUUCCCUCGCUCUCACACUCGACCAUUUCUACCCACUUGCAGGCCGCCUUGCAACAAAGAAGGAGGACAGUCCACCCUCUUACGUGGUCUUUGUAGAUUGUAACAACAGUCCCGGAGCGAAAUUCAUCCACGCAGCUGCAGACAUGACAAUAUCUGAUAUCCUUUCACCAAUUUAUGUACCCCAAGUUAUCCAAUCAUUCUUUGAUCAUGAUAGGGUGAUUAACCACGAUGGUCACACCUUGUCUUUGCUAUCAAUUCAAGUCACAGAGCUUGUGGACGGCAUCUUCAUUGGAUGUUCCAUAAAUCACAGCAUGGUUGAUGGAACCUCUUUCUGGCAUUUCUUCAACGCAUGGUCUGAGGUAUUCACUGCACAGGAGAAGAAUAGUCCCAUAACACUGUCACGCCCACCCAUCCUCAAGCGCUGGUUUCCUGAUGGCUAUGGUCCAAUUAUCAACCUUCCUUUCACUCACCAUGAUGAGUUCAUCAGCAGAUUUGAAGCACCCGUACUCAGAGAGAGAAUUUUCCACUUCUCAUCAGAAUCAAUAGCAAAGCUCAAAGCAAAGGCAAAUGCACAGUGCAACAGCAACAAAAUCUCCUCUUUCCAGGCAUUGUCCGCACUUGUCUGGAGGUCCAUAACACGAGCGCGCUGUUUCCCACAUGAGCAGGUAACCAGUUGCAGGCUGGCCAUCGGUAACAGAACAAGAUUGGACCCGCCCUUGCCGGAGAACUACUUUGGGAACUCAAUUCAAACGGUGAGAGGCAUUGCCACUGCUGGUGAACUGCUUGAACAUGAUCUUGGGUGGGCAGCCUGGCUCUUGCACCAGGCUGUGGUCGGUCACACUGACAAAGCUGUGCGUGGCUGGCUUGAGUCAUGGUUUCAAUCCCACUUUAUUUAUCAGUUAGGCCUGUUUUUUGACCCCAAUAGCGUAAUGAUGGGGAGCUCGCCCAGAUUUAACAAGUAUGGAAUUGAGUUUGGACUAGGGAAAGGAUUGGCAGUUCGGAGCGGUUACGCACACAAGUUCGAUGGGACAGUGUCAUGUUACCCGGGACGUGAAGGAGGAGGAAGCAUAGAUUUGGAGGUGUGCCUACCGCCAAACUCGAUGAGUGCUCUUGAAUCCAACCAGGAGUUCAUGGAGGCUGUCUCUUUGUCCCCUUAGGUACUUAGUUUUCACAUAUGUAAUCUGCAUAAACUAAUGAUGUAAACUUCAUUAGUCUCUGUUUUUCUGUUUCUUCCUUGAAUAAGCACUUGUCUAUGUACGGACGUCCUUCAUAUAUUGCAAAUUCAGAUAAUAUGAUGUGAUAUCGAGGCAAAGUAAUUAUAAAGCAAAUGUUAAGUUGUUAUGUCAAGCUACCAAACAGUUCCACAUCAUAUCUGCUAAACCUAAUAUAAGACUAUAUGCCCCCUCCACGCACAACAAAGAUAGGACUUUAUAGAAGGAUGGUCAGCUUAUCUUAUGGAAGGUCAAAGCUCGACUUAUUUAAUGGUUAUUCAAUUCACUUCAUCUGUAAACAUGGACAUUUCGGACUAGAUGCCAGCCACUCUAAUAAUUGAGCAAUGAACUCCAGUUUCCAGCUGCAGAUUUCAGUACUCCAUAUUUAACUAGCAAGAAUAUUAUUGAUUGAUUUAAGCUUUCCCUCCUGCAAAAUUAGCAUACAACAGAUACGCGGUGAAGAGCUGUUAACAGCUUCAUCACACCCCAAGAGUCAAAGGCCAUGAGAACCCAAUUUUUUGGACUUUAUUUGCUAGUUCUCAUCAACCAUAGGCUAUAGCACCAUGAGGGACUUUAUUUGGAAUUUGGUAGUAGGAGCAAAAUUCAAACGGAGAAAAAAAAUAAUCAGAUUAUAGAAUGAAAUUGACUACUUACAUCAUCAACAUUGAGAGGCUCCUUGAGAUGUCACACCAUCUGCAGAGUGGUUUAACAAACAGAAUCCUAGCUUUCUCAUUUUGGUGGUCUGUGAAGUACCUAGCUCCCGUUAUAACAGUCCAGGUAACAUAUCACUAAACUCAUGCUUUUAUGUGGAAAAAACUAUUAAAUAAGUUAGUAGUACUUGCAUCCAAAAAUAUAAAGACCUGAGAUCAGACCUUGGGAGUUGUAACCUCAUUAAACUGCACAUGCGCCUAUGGGAAAGAAAAAGAGGAAAAUUAAGUUGUUCUUGAUGCCAUCAAUUAACAACAGCAAAUUGAGCAGUGGAAGUCCAUUGGAAAUGGGAGACAAACUACAUUUUGUAUGAAUAACAAUAACAGAAUAAUACAAACCAGCUAAAAGUUGAGCCCCAUCGAUUCUUCAGUGGGAUGAUCAAGGGGGUAUGAAAAAGCAACCAAAGAUCAAUCCUUCAGAAGUUCAAAAAGAUUAGGGACAGAGCAGAGUAGAAACGAAGUCAAACAGGCCUUACUAAAUCCUAGUGCAGGAAAGCUAAGCAUUCCCCUUGAAUGGUCCUAAAAUUUACAUGUCAUGCAAAAGUGAGGAGCACAGAUAACUUUCUAAAUUUAAAUCUAACAAGAAACUGAAUAUCAGCCCGCUAGCAUGGACAAAAAGUCAAUAAUCUCAGACUAAAAGAGGAGAAAAUAAUUUUUCAGGACAGUAGUUAUUUCAAGAGGCUGAGAAGUUUCCCCGAAACCUCUUUGUAUGCCCACGCACUGAUAGCUAUCCGAUUUUGUCCUAUUUAUUGCAUAUAAACUGCAUCCCCUUGACGGCUGAAAUGCCGAAACUGCAAGAAAUCAUUAAGGAAAUAAAAUAAAUACAAUAAAGGGAAAAGCUACUUCAAUGUUGAAGAAUUUCUGUGUGAGAAACCUACAGGACAUUAGCGAUAAUUACAAUGCAAUUUGGUUGUUAUAUGAGGGCCCAAGAAAGACAACCAGAGAAGCUUCAAGAAGACAUGAUGUUAGAAGCUGAUAUUCAACCAUGAAGAUCCUUUGAAAGGCCCAAGAAAGACAACCAGAAAAAGCCUCAUGAUGUUUAGCAGCUGAUAUUCAACCAUGAAGAUCCUUUGAAAGGCCCAAGAAAGACAACCAGAAAAAGCUUCAGGAUGUUAGCAGCUGAUAUUCAAUCAUGAGGAUCCUUUCAAAUCUGUGUACCCCUCAGAGCUUAGCUUCAGCCAAAUGUUCCAUGAGGGCCUUUUUGAGGAAAGGGAUCGCUCUUAAAACAUUGAAUGAAGCAUGGCCACAAGUUAGAGCCUAACUUAGAUUCUUCAAAGCAAUCUCAUAUACAUUCCAAAGCUUUUACUGAGCUUUCCUCGUUUAAAUGGUAUCACAGCCACUCCCCAGUGGGACUGUUAGCAGGCUUAAACCCUUUUCCCUCUAUAACUCCUUCCCAACUAAAGCAUUUCCAGAUUCACAUUCUUAUUAACUUCCACAAUUAUUAACUGUCUCCAUUGAUCGUCAAGAACAUGUAGCAAUCAACUGAGUAAUUCGCAACCCUUAGAGCAUCAUAUACAUUACGAGCCUAAAUCCUUGCAACUGAACCUUUCAGAAAAAUUGGUAGUUUAGCAUUGUAUUAGAACAAAGAUGAACUUGACGGCUGGACCUGAUCUUUUGUUUUCUAUAAAAUUGAAAUACUUAUGUCAUAAAAUUCAGUAAUGUACCAUCCUUAUUUAAUUUUUUUUAUUUUUUUAUUUUUCUGUUGUCAUGGUGCACCGUUGAAUUGAAUCAUGGACACCGCUGGACAAGCAUACGACGACUGUAAGAAUUUUAUCUCGAGAUUUUUUUUGACAAGUGGCUUUCGAGUUAGGGGCAACUACCAAGCGAAUUUAGAAUACGGAUACAAGUUGGCCUUUCAAUAUUGAAUUAUGCAGAUGAUGGGUGAUGCUUCCGGGGUCACGUUGGUAAAAAAAACACAAGAAAUGAGCAACCCUACGAUACUUCCUUUACUGCAAAACAAUUAAGCUUAUGUUGCGACUUGUGACUUCUUAGCAGUCAAAACACUGUUCAUAUUUUGACUUCAACCGCGGAAAAGGUCAAAAUGAUAUUUCAAGGACAAUAAUUAAAAGAAUUGACCUGCCCCUCAGCCCCUCCUUCCGCCUGUCUGGAGGUCCAUAACACAAGCACGCUGUUUACCACAUGAACAGGAAAUCAGUUGCUGCUUGGCCGUCAAUAACAGAACAAGAUUGGACCCGCCCUUGCCGGAGAACUACUUCGGGAACUCCAUUCAUACAGCCAAUGCCCAUUUCAGCUUUGGCUUCAGCUCUUGCAAAUGCAACACCUGAUCAGCAAAGAACAGUAUGCCCAUUACCCUAAUUAUUGAUGAUACCUUAGUUUGCGUUGUAUUAGUAGCCUUUUACGUAAUUUUCUUUUUCUUCUGCUCUCAUUAUUGUCGAUACCUUAGUUUGCAUUGUAUUAGGAGCCUAAUUUCUUUUAUUUUAUUUUAUUUUUUAUGGUGCUCAUGUUGUUGUUUCCGUUUUUAUUUUUAUGGUGGCUAGAUGCUGGGCGAAAGUUUGUACCCUCUCGUGGAUCAGCUGGAGCAUGAGAUGGCAGCCAAAGUGACAGGCAUGCUUCUGGAUAUGGGCCAGACUGAGUUUUUGCAUCUGCUCGAGUCGCCAGAGGCUUUGAAGUCCAAGGUUGCGGAGGCCAUGGACGUCCUGAGGAAUGUUGCUCAGCAGCAGGCUAACAGACCGAACAACUAUCCUCACUGUCCCUGAAUGAUAGCCUUGUUCCCUGAGUGUGUUGGGUGGGACUUGAAUGUGGUUCCAGCAGUUUAAAUUAAGUUUCUCUGCUAGUGAAGGCUCUAGAUUUCAUUUGAUAUGGAGUUACAUUAGCCAUAGAAUUCUGAAGUUUGAAACAUAUUGUGUGUGC